UUCCAGAAAUACAUUUGUAAAAAAGGAUCUUUCUCCUUUUCUUAUUAUCUUAUUUUCCACAGAAAUACAUUUGUAAGAAAGGAUAAAGAUCCUUUUUUUUAUUUUCCACAUUAAAGAUUUAAGGAGCUCAAAAGCUCAAAACGUGCGUUACAUUAGCUACCUACCCGACGCCAUUUCGCAAGUGAUAAAAUAAAUUAUUCAAGAGCUCAAAGCAUUCGCUACAUCAGCUCGAACCUAUCUACCCUACACCUUUGCGCAAAUGAUUAUAUUAUGAUAGCAAAUGCCCAUAUACAGAUUUGGCAAUGGCAAUAGCAAUACGUUUCACAGUUAGUAUUCUAUAAAUUCUAUCCUGUCGAGAUGCCCCGUUAUUAAACGGAGCGACCGAUUGACAUGAUUUUCAUUUUUUCUAUAUUCAAUAAAAUAGGACAGAUAUAUGAACUACGCGGAGAGAAAUAUAGUAGAACCGAGUUUGAGCAAUCUUUUUAUUCAUAUUAGUUGAUGUUCACAAGUUGUUGCUGAGAGUCGAGAGCUCAUGUAGUCGUUGCCUAAGAGGCCUCCUAGCUAAAUAAAAUUACAAAUAACCACCCAGGCCUCUACACAACGCCCCCAUUUUCUUUCUGGGUCUCUUACCGCCCCCCUUGAUACCUGCAGCGCCCACAAGGGGGCGUUAUCGCUCACUUUGGGAAACACUGAUGUAAAUGAAGACUAACUACAGAAAUGAUACUGUGCAGUAUAUUCUUAAUUUUUCAAAGGCCAACGCAGAGUAUUUCAAGCAAAAGUCACACAAAAUAGUUGAAAAUUCGCAGACAUGAAAGACAAAUGAAGGAAAAAGAUGUAUAACUUCAAUAAUACACAAGCAUACAAACAUACAUAUGCGCAGCAGCAAGGAAAGAGAUUGGAGGAGUGACAUAUCCUAAUGUUGCAUUGGAGACUUUUGCCUUUAUUCAGCAAAAGCAUCGAAACAUCAUUGCCAACGUGUUCAAUUCAGCAUUUUCGCCAUUGAAAGCGGCACCGUUUGUUCAAUCGUGUUUGUCACCAGAUACUGAUAUUUCAUCAUUCUUUUAAAAAGGUUGGUUCAUUGUCGCGCGUGGUCGACUUCACCAAAAAUAUUACUUACAAAUUGAAAUAAUAAAAUAAUAGUUCUAUAAAAAAGAAAUUCAUUUUAAUUUUAUAAAAAAACAAAAAUUGUCGCUAACAUCUUAUUGUAUAACGACUUGACAAAAAAUAUAGUAAAAAAACUAUUACUGGCGCAGUCGGUUUAACUUGGGCGAGAAUAGAAAGUGCAAAAAUUUCAUUAAAAAAAUCUUACUUUUAAACGUGCAAAACACACAAAACUUUAAAUUAAAAAAAUAUAUGUAUAUUAAAAAUAAAAAAUAAGAUAAAAGUGUGAAGUACAAAAUGAAGAGUUCAACAUCGAUAGCAUUUAAAGAACGUAACAGGCGAACUCAAAUAUUGAAAUUAAUAACGUAAAAGUGGAACGUGAAGAUGUAGAAAUAAAAAAAAUAUCAUAAAGAACAAAACGAACAGUAUAACAACAAGAACGUAAAAGUGGAACGUCGAAAUGAAGAAAAAGAAGAAAUUAUCGUAACAAACAAAAUGAACUAUGUUACGAUGGAACAGUGGAACAAAAAUAUCACAAUACGUUAAAAAUAAAAAUAAAACAAAAUGAAAAAAA